GUAGGGAAUAUUGGACAAUGGGGGCAACCCUGAUCCAGCGACGCCGCGUGAGUGACGAAGGCCUUCGGGUCGUAAAGCUCUGUUGCAAGGGAAAAACAAAAUGAUGGUACCUUGCUAGAAAGGAUCGGCUAACUUCGUGCCAGCAGCCGCGGUAAGACGAGGGAUCCUAGCGUUGUUCGGAAUUAUUGGGCGUAAAGCGGGUGUAGGUGGCUUUGUAAGUCAGGUGUGAAAGACUGGGGCUUAACCCCAGAAGUGCAUUUGAUACUGCGAAGCUUGAGUGCUGGAGAGGCUACUAGAAUUCUUGGUGUAGUGGUGAAAUACGUAGAUAUCAAGAGGAAUACCGGAGGCGAAGGCGGGUAGCUGGCCAGACACUGACACUCAGACCCGAAAGCGUGGGGAUCAAACAGGAUUAGAUACCCGAGUAGUCC
rnacentral:rRNA from 1 species